AACCGGGAGAUGAUGGAGUUCGGGGCUCAGCAGCAUAGGGCUUGGGGAAUGGAUUCUUCCCGAACCGCUGCAGGAUAAUCCACAAACAGAUGAUGGAACUGUGGCUCCUUCACACAUCAGGCCUACUCCUGAAAUUUCUGGCUGGAGAGUUUAGAAAACUGGAGUUCUCCUUCGAAUUGAGCCCACCACACUGAGGCAUAAGGAUCUUCCAGAAGACAAAUUCCAAGACAACCAUGUCGAUGAUGAAUUAUGCUACGGAUGUACACGGCAUAUUUUCCAGAGACUUUUAGGUGGAAGGAAACAGCGCAGGGAGGCAUUAACUUCAGUUACAGAGAAGUCGUUCAGAUGUCGCUUUCUCGCGUUCUUUUUCAUCACUAAAUUUAAGCGGAAAUAAUGCCGACUCUUUAUACAUUGCAGUUGUGACUUGAAAGGCACUGUUUCAAAAUUAUCCUGAGAGGAUAACAAGACUCAUCGAUGCAUCACAACCCAUUCCAGAAAGCUAGAAAGGCAUUCUGUUCUCGGGGAAGAUGAGAUGCAUGAAUAGUUCGACAGCCUUGCGCAUAUCUCCAGCAACAAAAGAAUGACAGUGCCCUGCUUUUUCCUUCCCCCAAGAAGGAGAGAGGAAGAAUCCACCAAAGCAUGCAUCGGUACUGAAGGAAUGAACAGGUCAUAUUUCCAGCAACCAAAGGAUAAAUAGGUUUAUAGCAAUGAAUAGGUCCCACUACGCACUGCACCACGAGGGUUUAAGUCUAUAG